CCUACGGGAGGCAGCAGUGAGGAAUAUUGGUCAAUGGGCGCGAGCCUGAACCAGCCAAGUCGCGUGAAGGAUGACUGCCCUACGGGUUGUAAACUUCUUUUAUAAGGGAAUAAAGUGCGGCACGUGUGCCUCUUUGUGUGUACUUUAUGAAUAAGGAUCGGCUAACUCCAUGCCAGCAGCCGCGGUAAUACGGAGGAUCCGAGCGUUAUCCGGAUUUAUUGGGUUUAAAGGGAGCGUAGAUGGGUUGUUAAGUCAGUGGUGAAAGUUUGCGGCUCAACCGUAAAAUUGCGAUUGAUACUGGCAGCCUUAGUGACAGUAGGGGUAGGGGGAAUUCGUGGUGUGGCGGGGAAAU
rnacentral:rRNA from 1 species